AACAAGUUUGGAACAAGCCGUUAACAAACUGUAACAUUGUUGUUGACAUUACCAGACUUGUUGCAAGGUUGUUCCAACACGUCCAAUGCAGUCAUGAUACAACAAUGUUGUUACAAUCUUGUGUCGUCAACCUUGUAACAUUCUUGUUAUAUCAUGACUGUAUCAGACUUGUUAAAACAACUUUGUAACAAGUCUGAUAGUGCCAUCAAGCUUGUUACAAGUUGUUAACAGCUUGUUCCAAACUUGUU